rnacentral:rRNA from 1 species
UACGUAGGGGGCAAGCGUUGUCCGGAAUCAUUGGGCGUAAAGAGCGUGUAGGCGGUCCGAUAAGUCGGCUGUGAAAGUCAAGGGCUCAACCCUUGAAUGCCGGCCGAUACUGUCGGGCUAGAGUCCGGAAGAGGCGAGUGGAAUUCCCGGUGUAGCGGUGAAAUGCGCAGAUAUCGGGAGGAACACCAAUGGCGAAGGCAGCUUGCUGGGACGGUACUGACGCUGAGACGCGAAAGCGUGGGGAGCAAACAGG